AUACAAUGUAUAUAUAUUAACUAUAUACACAAUAUAUGUUGUUCUUAAACAAAAUAAUAGAGAUUUAAGCGGUAAAUAUCCGCGGAAAGGAUCAACCCAAAACCAGUCACAAAAGUGCAGAAAAGGGCAGGUAAUCCAGACUAGUUUGACAUUGUUUUGAUGGCUGGCCUGUAUUCUUCUAUUAAGCCAUUCAUCCCGUCGGCUCUGUUUGUCACUGCCCUUGUAGUAAGCAUACGCUGGGACAUUAACAAGCGCAAGGAAACUUUAGCGAGACUUAAGCAAGACCUUGAAGAUAAAAGACGUGAGCACAACUUAACUGAAUAAGAUGAGGACUGGUCUUAGAUUAAUGUUUGCUGGGCGUUUUUGGAAAACGUGGACAGCCAUGACCCUUGGCAUACCUGUCGCUCUGGUAUUAUCCCAUUUGUUGGAAAGGGAAUGGGAUAGAGAAGCAUAUGCAAUGAGAGGACGUAGUAAUUUGUUUAAGGAAGAUUAUAGAAAACUUAAACUACAAGAUCCUUCCAAGGAACUUUGGACCUAAAAAUUAAAACUGUUACCAUUCUGUUUGAUGUUUAAUCUUGUUCCUGAAAUAAAAAUGACUUUAUAAAUCAGA